AGAGUUUGAUCCUGGCUCAGGACGAACGCUGGCGGCGCGCCUAACACAUGCAAGUCGAACGAAUUGAUCCUUCGGGAUCAGUUAGUGGCGGACGGGUGAGUAACGCGUGAGUAACCUGCCUUACAGAGGGGGAUAACAGUUGGAAACGACUGCUAAUACCGCAUAAAAUAUUGAUACCGCAUGGUAAUGAUAUCAAAGGAGCAAUCCGCUGUAAGAUGGACUCGCGUCCAAUUAGCUAGUUGGUGAGGUAACGGCCCACCAAGGCGACGAUUGGUAGCCGGACUGAGAGGUUGAACGGCCACAUUGGGACUGAGACACGGCCCAGACUCCUACGGGAGGCAGCAGUGGGGAAUAUUGCACAAUGGGGGAAACCCUGAUGCAGCGACGCCGCGUGAGGGAAGAAGGUUUUCGGAUUGUAAACCUCUGUCCUUGGUGACGAUAAUGACGGUAGCCAAGGAGGAAGCCACGGCUAACUACGUGCCAGCAGCCGCGGUAAUACGUAGGUGGCAAGCGUUGUCCGGAAUUACUGGGUGUAAAGGGAGCGUAGGCGGGGGAUCAAGUUGAAUGUGAAAGCUAUGGGCUCAACCCGUAAACUGCCGUUGAAACUGUUGUUCUUGAGUGGAGUAGAGGCAGGCGGAAUUCCUAGUGUAGCGGUGAAAUGCGUAAAUAUUAGGAGGAACACCAGUGGCGAAGGCGGCCUGCUGGGCUUUAACUGACGCUGAGGCUCGAAAGCGUGGGUAGCAAACAGGAUUAGAUACCCUGGUAGUCCACGCUGUAAACGAUGAUUACUAGGUGUGGGGGGACUGACCCCUUCCGUGCCGCAGUUAACACAAUAAGUAAUCCACCUGGGGAGUACGACCGCAAGGUUGAAACUCAAAGGAAUUGACGGGGGCCCGCACAAGCAGUGGAGUAUGUGGUUUAAUUCGACGCAACGCGAAGAACCUUACCAGGUCUUGACAUCUUUUGACCACCUAAGAGAUUAGGUUUUCCCUUCGGGGACAAAAUGACAGGUGGUGCAUGGUUGUCGUCAGCUCGUGUCGUGAGAUGUUGGGUUAAGUCCCGCAACGAGCGCAACCCUUGUUGUUAGUUGCUACGCAAGAGCACUCUAGCGAGACUGCCGUUGACAAAACGGAGGAAGGUGGGGACGACGUCAAAUCAUCAUGCCCCUUAUGUCCUGGGCUACACACGUAAUACAAUGGCGGUCAACAGAGGGAUGCAAAACCGCAAGGUGGAGCGAACCCCUAAAAGCCGUCCCAGUUCAGAUUGUGGGCUGCAACCCGCCCACAUGAAGUCGGAAUCGCUAGUAAUCGCGGAUCAGCAUGCCGCGGUGAAUACGUUCCCGGGCCUUGCACACACCGCCCGUCA
rnacentral:rRNA from 1 species